rnacentral:rRNA from 1 species
GUUGAACGCUGGCGGCAUGCUUUACACAUGCAAGUCGAACGGUAACAGGCCUUCGGGUGCUGACGAGUGGCGAACGGGUGAGUAAUGCAUCGGAACGUGCCCAGAGGUGGGGGAUAACGCAGCGAAAGCUGUGCUAAUACCGCAUGUGAUCUGAGGAUGAAAGCGGGGGACCAGGCAGCAAUGUUUGGCCUCGCGCCUUUGGACCGGCCGAUGUCAGAUUAGGUAGUUGGUGGGGUAAAGGCCUACCAAGCCGACGAUCUGUAGCUGGUCUGAGAGGACGACCAGCCACACUGGGACUGAGCCACGGCCCAGACUCCUACGGGAGGCAGCAGUGGGGAAUUUUGGACAAUGGGCGCAAGCCUGAUCCAGCAAUGCCGCGUGCGGGAAGGAGGCCUUCGGGUUGUAAACCGCUUUUGUACGGAGCGAAAAGGCUCUGGCUAAUACCUGGGGCUGAUGACGGUACCGUAAGAAUAAGCACCGGCUAACUACGUG